rnacentral:rRNA from 1 species
AGCGAACAGACGAGGAGCUUGCUCCUCUGACGUUAGCGGCGGACGGGUGAGUAACACGUGGAUAACCUACCUAUAAGACUGGGAUAACUUCGGGAAACCGGAGCUAAUACCGGAUAAUAUUUCGAACCGCAUGGUUCGAUAGUGAAAGAUGGCUCUGCUAUCACUUAUAGAUGGACCUGCGCCGUAUUAGCUAGUUGGUAAGGUAACGGCUUACCAAGGCAACGAUACGUAGCCGACCUGAGAGGGUGAUCGGCCACACUGGAACUGAGACACGGUCCAGACUCCUACGGGAGGCAGCAGUAGGGAAUCUUCCGCAAUGGGCGAAAGCCUGACGGAGCAACGCCGCGUGAGUGAUGAAGGUCUUCGGAUCGUAAAACUCUGUUAUUAGGGAAGAACAAACGUGUAAGUAACUGUGCACGUCUUGACGGUACCUAAUCAGAAAGCCACGGCUAACUACGUGCCAGCAGCCGCGGUAAUACGUAGGUGGCAAGCGUUAUCCGGAAUUAUUGGGCGUAAAGCGCGCGUAGGCGGUUUUUUAAGUCUGAUGUGAAAACCCACGGCUCAACSGUGGAGGGUCAUUGGAAAC